GCACAUCUUUUCCGUGGUCUGUAAAUGCCAUUCUCCACUGAGAGGACUCAUGGCUCCUUGGAGAGCUCGCUGAAUCCUGAGCUGGGGAACGGAAGUUCUCCCUUCGGCAGCACCUACAGCAUAUUCUUGCUUCUGAGCUGAAUAUCUGCGUUCCUGCUAAACCAGAGAUCACAGUUAUCAGAGAGAAUGCACUGAAGGAGGUGAAGCUGAAAUGAAAGCCUGGAGACCAACAUGAAGUUGAUGCAUUAAUACAAACAAGAGAACAGUGACCUGGACUAAACAAGUAGCAGUAAAGAAGGGAGAAGUGGCCGGGCACGGUGGCUCAAGCCUGUAAUCCCAGCACUUUGGGAGGCCGAGGCAGGCAGAUUACCUGAGGUCGAGAGUUCGAGACCAUCCUGGCCAACAUAGUGAAACCACGUCUCUACUAAAAAUACAAAAAUUAGCCAGGCAUGGUGGUGCGUGCCUGUAAUCCCAGCUACUUGGGAGGCUCAGGCAGGAGAAUCGCUUGAACCUAGGAAGCAGAGGUUGCAGUGAGCCGAGAUCGCACCAUUGCACAGCCUGGGCAACAAAAGCAAAAC
rnacentral:lncRNA from 10 species